GAUGAAGAACGUAGCGAAAUGCGAUAAGUAAUGUGAAUUGCAGAAUUCAGUGAAUCAUCGAAUCUUUGAACGCACAUUGCGCCCUUUGGUAUUCCUUAGGGCACGCCUGUUCGAGCGUCAUUUAAACCUUCAAGCUAAGCUUGGUGUUGGGUGACUGUCCGCCUCACGGCGGACUCGCCUCAAAAUUAUUGGCGGCCGGUACAUUGGCUUCGAGCGCAGCAGAAACGCGAACUCGGGCCCGUCGUAUUGGCUCCCAGAAGCUAUCUUCACAAUUUUGACCUCGGAUCAGGUAGGGAUACCCGCUGAACUUAAGCAUAUCAAUAAGCGGAGGA
rnacentral:misc_RNA from 1 species